UCAGAAAACACCGCCUUUUCUUCAUCAUCGUCUGGUCAUCAUCCAGACGAUGAUGAAGAAAAGGCGGUGUUUUCUGAC
rnacentral:pre_miRNA from 1 species